rnacentral:rRNA from 1 species
AUUGAACGCUGGCGGCAUGCUUUACACAUGCAAGUCGAACGGCAGCGCGGGCUUCGGCCUGGCGGCGGGUGGCGAACGGGUGGGUAAUACAUCGGAACGUGCCCAGUAGUGGGGGAUAGCUCGGCGAAAGCGGGAUUAAAACCGCAUACGACCUGAGGGGGAAAGCGGGGGAUCUUCGGACCUCGCGCUUUUGAGGCGGCCGAUGGCAGAUUAGCUAGUUGGUGGGGUAAAGGCCUACCAAGGCGACGAUCUGUAGCUGGUCUGAGAGGACGACCAGCCACACUGGGACUGAGACACGGCCCAGACUCCUACGGGAGGCAGCAGUGGGGAAUUUUGGACAAUGGGCGAAAGCCUGAUCCAGCAAUGCCGCGUGUGUGAUGAAGGCCUUCGGGUUGUAAAGCACUUUUGGCGGGAACGAAAAGGACUGUGCCAAUACCACGGUUCGAUGACGGUACCCGCAGAAUAAGCACCGGCUAACUACGUG